rnacentral:rRNA from 1 species
GAUGAACGCUAGCUACAGGCUUAACACAUGCAAGUCGAGGGGAAACGAUAUUGGAAGCUUGCUUCCGAUAGGCGUCGACCGGCGCACGGGUGAGUAACGCGUAUCCAACCUGCCCAUCACUUGGGGAUAACCUUGCGAAAGUAAGACUAAUACCCAAUGACGUCUCUAGAAGACAUCUAAAAGAGAUUAAAGAUUUAUCGGUGAUGGAUGGGGAUGCGUCUGAUUAGCUUGUUGGCGGGGUAACGGCCCACCAAGGCGACGAUCAGUAGGGGUUCUGAGAGGAAGGUCCCCACAUUGGAACUGAGACACGGUCCAAACUCCUACGGGAGGCAGCAGUGAGGAAUAUUGGUCAAUGGACGAGAGUCUGAACCAGCCAAGUAGCGUGCAGGAAGACGGCCCGUAUGGGUUGUAAACUGCUUUUAUAAGGGAAUAAAGUGAGUCUCGUGAGGCUUUUUGCAUGUACC